AGUUUGAUUAUGGCUCAGGAUGAACGCUGGCGGCGUGCUUAACACAUGCAAGUCGAACGGAGUUUUUAAACGGAAGUUUUCGGAUGGAAGUUUAGAAACUUAGUGGCGGACGGGUGAGUAACGCGUGGGUAACCUGCCUCAUACAGGGGGGAUAACAGUUAGAAAUGACUGCUAACACCGCAUAAUAUAGCGAAACCGCAUGAUUUUUGCUAUCAAAUAUUUAUAGGUAUGAGAUGGGCCCGCGUCUGAUUAGCUAGUUGGUGGGGUAAAAGCCUACCAAGGCGACGAUCAGUAGCCGGCUUGAGAGAGUGACCGGCCACAUUGGGACUGAGACACGGCCCAAACUCCUACGGGAGGCAGCAGGUGGGGAAUAUUGGACAAUGGGGGAAACCCUGAUCCAGCGAACCGCCGCGUGAGUGAAGAAGUAUUUCGGUAUGUAAAGCUCUAUCAGCAGGGAAGAUAAUGACAGUACCUGACUAAGAAGCCCCGGCUAACUACGUGCCAGCAGCGGC
rnacentral:rRNA from 1 species